rnacentral:tRNA from 1 species
UGGGGUGCUAGCUCAACUGGGAGAGCGCCGCCUUUGCAAGGCGGAGGUUAUCGGUUCGAUCCCGAUGCACUCCAU